CAAAACUGUUAACAAAAUAUUAGAUUUUUUCUUUUGUUCUUGAUAAAACUAAACGUUAAAUUCAAAUCUGACAACCCCAAUUUUAAUAAUUUUAUUUCUUUAUAAACUUCUGGUUGCAAUUUGUCCAAGAGAUUUUUAUCCUUUGUAUUGUCGGGGCCUGUUCAGGAUUAUUACCAGGGUUGGUUUAAGGUUAUAUUCAGGGCUGGAUGUUAAUAAUUGAGGCCCCAAUCAUAAAUUUUUUCUCUCAAUUUAUAGAAGCAAUCGUAUGAUUAGUUAAACCCUAUACUGUAUUUUGUUAAAUAGUUAAAUAUAAUAUGUAUUUUUUCUUGCAAGAACAUAUACUAAUAAAGAUUAUCAAGUUAAA